rnacentral:rRNA from 1 species
GUGCCAGCCGCCGCGGUAAUACAGAGGUCCCAAGCGUUGUUCGGAUUCACUGGGCGUAAAGGGUGCGUAGGCGGUCGGGUAAGUCUGAUGUGAAAUCUCAGAGCUCAACUCUGAAACUGCAUUGGAUACUAUUCGGCUUGAGGUCUGGAGGGGGGACUGGAAUUCUCGGUGUAGCAGUGAAAUGCGUAGAUAUCGAGAGGAACACCAGUGGCGAAGGCGAGUCCCUGGACAGAUCCUGACGCUGAGGCACGAAAGCUAGGGGAGCAAACAGGAUUAGAAACCCGUGUAGUCC